UACGUAGGUGGCAAGCGUUGUCCGGAUUUACUGGGCGUAAAGAGCGCGCAGGCGGUCGUGCAAGUCGCGUGUGAAAGCCCCCGGCUCAACUGGGGAGGGUCACGCGAUACUGCUCGACUCGAAGGCAGGAGAGGGAAGUGGAAUUCCCGGUGUAGUGGUGAAAUGCGUAGAUAUCUGGAGGAACACCGAUGGCGAAGGCAGCCCCCUGGGAUAACACUGACGCUCAUGACACGAAAGCGUGGGAGCAAACAGGAUUACGAAGACCCGUGGUAGUCAGAC
rnacentral:rRNA from 1 species